GAUGAACGCUGGCGGCGUGCCUAAUACAUGCAAGUCGAGCGAACAGACGAGGAGCUUGCUCCUCUGACGUUAGCGGCGGACGGGUGAGUAACACGUGGAUAACCUACCUAUAAGACUGGGAUAACUUCGGGAAACCGGAGCUAAUACCGGAUAACAUGAUGAACCGCAUGGUUCAACAGUGAAAGACGGUCUUGCUGUCACUUAUAGAUGGAUCCGCGCCGCAUUAGCUAGUUGGUAAGGUAACGGCUUACCAAGGCAACGAUGCGUAGCCGACCUGAGAGGGUGAUCAGCCACACUGGAACUGAGACACGGUCCAGACUCCUACGGGAGGCAGCAGUAGGGAAUCUUCCACAAUGGGCGAAAGCCUGACGGAGCAACGCCGCGUGAGUGAAGAAGGUCUUCGGAUCGUAAAACUCUUUUAUUAGGAAAGAACAAAUGUGUAAGUAACUAUGCACGUCUUGACGGUACCUAAACAGAAAGCCACGGCUAACUACGUG
rnacentral:rRNA from 1 species